rnacentral:rRNA from 1 species
UACGUAGGGUGCGAGCGUUGUCCGGAAUUAUUGGGCGUAAAGGGCUCGUAGGCGGUUUGUCGCGUCGGGAGUGAAAACUCAGGGCUUAACCCUGAGCCUGCUUCCGAUACGGGCAGACUAGAGGUAUGCAGGGGAGAACGGAAUUCCUGGUGUAGCGGUGAAAUGCGCAGAUAUCAGGAGGAACACCGGUGGCGAAGGCGGUUCUCUGGAACGCAACUGACGCUGAGACGCGAAAGCGUGGGGAGCAAACAGG